AAAAACUUGGGCGUUAGAGACCGGACUCCUCAGUCAGCUCCAAGGCUGUACAAGCUCUGCGAGCCACCACCUCCAGUAGGAGAAGAAUGAGCAUUCCACGUGCCAUGGGACAGAUGCUUCCAGAUGCUGCCCAAAUUAACAUUCUCCACCGAAGACAAAGAGAUGCAAAUUAAAGAUUUAAAGUUUUCCCAUGAUGUAAAUAACUGAUGUUUGGUUUGGACAUUUAUGCUGGAACUAGAAGUUCCUUCAGACAGUUCAGCCUUACACUCUAUACAUUAAGAAUACAGAUUCACAUUAGGGCAAAAUUCACUUCUCGUAUUUGUAGAAAAAUAUACAGAGAUAAAAGAUUAACUAUUUUGGUUCCUUUCUCAUUCAUUAAUUAUAUUGUAUUUGUGUUUAGCUUCCCCAAUGGACAGAUAUUAUACUUGAUAGUUUUUCUUGAAGAAGUCUGUCCUAAAAAUGAUGACCACACUCUGGAAACAAUCAUACAGAAACGUUAAGGACAGUGUAGAUGAGGAGUUACAGGUGUCCCAUAUACCACUUGAGUCACCAAGAAAGGCGCAUAUGAGAGGUAGGGAAGUACCUGCCUCCCUUUCUUCUUGGGCUUCCUGGUAACAAAGAGAGCUCAGAGGUUCUGGCAAGACUUUUUCCCUUUUGUUAUGUCUAGUCUCUGGUCUUGUAAACACUCCAGUAGGCAGGUGCUUUUCUUGAUCUUUCCAAUGAGCCAUGAGUGCUGCGUGAUGGACCACUGAUGGCGGUGGGUAGGAAGUUGCUAGGUUGGAGAGAGAGGAGUGAAUGAGGAUGGAAAAUAAUACAUGUAUUGACCACUCACCCCUUGCCAGAGAAAGAUAAAUUCUUAAUUAUAUGAAGUCUUACUAUGAAAUGUCAGACUGUUAAAAUAACACACCUUCCUGAGAAUUUUUCUAUCAAGUUAUAUGUGUAAGAUAUGAAAAUAGAUUUAUUUGUUGUACUUCAAAAGGUCAUUAGAGAAAAACUUUGAUAAUUUAUGGAACCAAGGUAUAGACUGUAUUCAUUCUAAAGUAUAUGCAAUAUUUAUCACUUCUGUGUUAAUAUACUAAAAUUAUUUUAGCACAUAAAUAUAUUAAUAUUGGUUUUAAAUAUAUAUCUUUACAAAUAAUUAAAACAGCAUCACUGUGAUUAUGAUAGUUGUGCUUUGUUUAAUGACAGGAAUAAAUUGUGCCUUUAGGUGAUAUUAUCAUCGUAUAAAUGUCAUGGGGUGUACUUACACAAGCUGAGAUGACUGUGGCCUCAGACACUAUGACCUAUGGAACCACUUCCUAUAGGCUGUGCAUCACUGGCCCAAAGACCUCUAACAGCACAGAACUGUGUGUGGAUAUGGGCUAAGCACAUGAAUUCCUUACUUUAACUACAGGUUUGGCAAACCAUUAUUCAGCUUUACUUUAUAAAUCUCAUAAUGAAUUUCAGACUAUCAUUAAAAGCUAUCAUUACUGCCAGUGAUAUAUUGAAUUUAAAAGUGUGCUUCAAAGGUAUGGGAUACAUAUAUCCUACAAGUUAAGAGUGAAAAUUAUUCAUCACAGAGUACAUAAGAUUUUUCAGUAAAUCUAUUUGUGACUAAUCAUAGAGAAACCAACAUUAGUUUCUAAAAAAAAGCCUUAGCAUUUUGAAUUUAAUAAAGAUAUGACCUACGUUUGCAUAUAUGUGACAUACAUCCAUAACUUUCAGGAUUAAUAUUUUUGCUAUCAUCAGCAUAUAAGUGUGAAGCUCUGGUAGUUCAGGCUGCCUUCUCUGAAAGUCUUGAGCGUAAGGAGAGCUGAUUGCCCGACUAGGCAGACCCUUCACACUGCUUUACUCUUCUGUGUUCACCAGCCUCACUAAGUCUCCAUAGAGGAACAGAAGGGCUACGAAGCAAGCUUAUUUUAUUUUUUCUCAUUAAACUUGUUUUAAUGGUC
rnacentral:lncRNA from 1 species